AUGAAAUGUGAUGUGAGUUUUAGGUUUGAACUCAAAUAAGGAAAGAGAAGGAAAAAAAGAGAAGAAAUGCUAAAUUAGGACAUGGGCGUGGUUCUUUAUUCAUGAGGUGGGCGUGGUCUGUGUGUCGGUCACUUCCUAGUGAUUGUUGAGGGUCCGUUCAGCGGAAAAAAAAAGUCCAAAACCCGAGACUUGUUCCAUCACCGGGGUCUCAGGUAUGCUACAACCUGCAGCAACUUCGAGAACUUUUGUUCAGCUUCGUUCCGAGGCGACUGAAGAGUCCUGAAGAAGAAUGAAGUGAAGAGAUUAGCGCUGGAGGACCUUCAUGAACUCGGUCAUGGACACCUCGAUGUUCCCCGGUUAUUCCUGGCUGGACUUCGUGUUCACGGUGAUCGGUGUGUGUACGUAUGUGUUUGACGUGGGCUCGGACCUGUGGCUGGCUCAGGAGUUUUUCCGCCGUGGGGAGAUCUUCUGGUUCGGCUUGCUAAUCGGCUUCAUGCUCCUUUCCUCCCUCAUAGUCCAGAUGUUCAGCUGGUUCUGGCUGAAAUACGACCUGCAGCUUCAAACCUUCCAGACAACGCACAAGCACAUGAUCCUGUUCGGCAGUACGAGGUGUUUGAGGCUCACCUGCUUCCUCCACGUGCUUCAGCUCGGCUUCUUCUUCAGGCACGUCUCAGCGAUCUGGCAGGGUUUCUGCGUGUGGUGGCGAGGAGAACCAGGCUCGGAGUACGCCGCCUACCUGACCCACGACCUCAGCCUGCUGCGGCUGAUCGAGACCUUCUGCGAGAGCUCGCCACAGCUCUCGCUCAUGAUCUACAUCCUCAUCCACAACAAUCACGCCACAAUCAUCCAGUAUGUGAGCAUCACAGCCUCGGUGGUCUCGGUAGCGUGGGCCGUGGUGGACUAUCACCGCUCACUGCGUUUCUUCCUCCCUGAGAAAAGUAAACAGUCGUGGCAGUCCUCCGGCGUCUACUUCCUGUGGAACCUGUUCCUGAUUGGCCCACGCAUCGUGUGUGUGUCCCUCUUCACCUCCGUCAUGUCCUAUUUGGUUUUUGUUCACUUCCUGUUGCUCUGGCUCGUGUUCGUGCUCUGGGCCUUCCUGCAGGACACCAAAUUCAUGGACAGUAAAGCUGGAGAGUGGCUCUACCGCGCCACCAUAGGCCUCAUCUGGUACUUCAGCUGGUUUAACAUCGUAGAUGGUCGAACCCGAUACAGGAGCAUCAUCUACCACGGGUUUAUUUUAACAGACAGCGCGAUCCUGGUGCUCACAUGGUGGUUCUUCAGAGAUCCUGAAAGGAGCCGAUCUUAUUCUCUUAUUCUCCUCAUCCUCAUCCUGCUUACCUAUCUGAUCGGCCUGAUGGUUAAGAUGAUCUACUACUGCUGCUUUCAUCCCAAGCUGGGACAGAACCAGGAGCCGAUGAUGGUUUCGGAUGUUCCUGAUGGUCUGGCGGCUCAGGGUACGGUUACGGAGAUGGACUCGGGCAAGUCGGAGAUUUUCAGCAGGAGAAUGGCCAGACAGGCUGAGAGCUUUUACAGCACAGGGACACGUGUGAGGAGAUACAGGGGCACCAGGGUUAUAUGAGGAAAUGAGAAGAACCUGGAAACCUCGUUUACACAGAAGUUUCAGUAAGGAGGAGAAGAUUCCCUUUUUUCAGACGAACACGUUGGAUGGUGGUGAUGUUUUUCUGAACAUGGCACCUUCAGUUCCACCCCUACGUGGAAACGGCUUCCUGCACACUCACACCACAACACAGUGCUCAGGAACCUUCUGAGGAACACGACAAACAGCUCAGCGUGUCGACUCGAGCGUAGAUUUCCUACAUCUGGAUCUGAUGGUGUGUCUGAGGGACGUGCUGGACAAACAAGUUUGAUUGUGGAUGGAGGCUCCACCUCACAACUCAUGGAAACAUAAAGGGAUCUGCUGCUGAGGUCUUGGUGUCAGGGAUGAAGCUCUACAGCAGGAGAUCUUCCACCCACUUCCAACACAUGUAAAGCAGAUCUUCAUGGAGCUGUGCUUUGUAGACAGGAGCAUCAUCCUGCUGGAACAGGUUUGGGUCUCCUAGUUCAAAAGUCCCAAAAACAUCUGGUUCAAUUAUGUGCCUCCAAAUUUAUGGGUACAGUUUGGGGAAGAACCACAUAUGGGUCAAAAAAUGGCGGGUGUCCCAAUACUUUUGAGAAGCUAACACGAGAGAAACAGUUCACAAGCUUUUUAGAUCACAUGAUUAUUUCUAAUACAUCGUAAUGACGUCAUUAACACUAAUAAUAAUAAUAAUAAUAAUAAUAAUAAUAAUAAUAAUAAUGGUGAUGACGAUGCCCCCUAGUGGUCAGAAAGCAACAUAACUAUUCUAAAUAAUAUCUGAUAGAGGUCAGAAUGGUCCAGUAGGAAGCUAUAGAUGAUCUGCAGAACAAAUCAUUGGUCAGGAAAUGAUCAGCAAUGAAACUCACAAACUCCGAGACCCCCCUGUGUCUCCUGUUUUGGGGGGAGGAGAAGGAUGACCAGAUAUGGUUUUCUUGUACGUAAAGAAAGAAACCAUGACGUUCAUCAGUUAUCUGAGUUCACGAGGUGUUUCAAACCGCUUAUGAAGUGGUGAUGAAGAGAGGGAGGGAAAACCCUGUCACUCCCAUCGUCGCGUGUUUGAGGGAGUGGAUUAUAAUUUCUGUGUAAAUAUUUGUCUAGAAGUUAAGUGAUUAAGUCUUCAGCACAGCAUUGGCGCCGUCUGUGACAUAUCCGUAAAAAAAAACGUGAGCGUUACAGGACGUCAAAACUCUUUCUUCACAUGUUAUUAUGGGAUAGAUUUCCCUUUCGAUUUUCGAGCCUCGUGUGUGAACCUGCAGAUCUUUACAGAAAGAAGAGUCCAUGUUCUGUUCAGUGAUGAAGAGCUUCAGAACAGAAUAAAUUUCACAUUUCGGUGGUCAUCAUGAUCUAGUUUCUGUACCUGACGAUCGUAGGAGCAGAGUCUCAGGAGGUUUCAUUUUCGUUCCUGUGAUUUCCUCUGAAAGCCAUUAAAAGCACCACAUUGUGAAAGUUGGGUUUCUGCCCUGUGUUUUUUUCUCUCUCUUUGCUCUGGGAGUGGAGCAGAAAUUAAUUAAUUGCUGGAUAAACACAUCAGUCAACAUUAAGAGCCACAAAAGAAACCUGGUUAAUCAUUCAGCAGGUAUUGACCAAGUUUCCCAUUAAGACUAUUCAACAUCUAAGUCUCUUCACAACAUCUAAACGGGGUCCUGGUCAGAAUUUCCCUUUCAGAAAUCUCACUUCCUUCUCCAGGGAUUUGUGAUUCAAACUGUUCACGAUCGUAUAUAUGGCGUCUUUGGAGCAUGAAAUUUCCCUGCUCUCGAAUUGGAGAACCUGUUCCUGCAUGACUCGUGCCCCAUGGAUGGAUGGAAGUGUAUGUAGGAGAAGGUAUACAGCACAUGAAAUUCUUUCACAUUUCCCACAAGAACCUCUGUAACAUGUAAACAUAGGGUUAAGGGCCAUACUCAAGGGCCCCAAGAGUGGCAGCUUGACAAUAGUGGAGCCCUGACCUUUUGAUCAGUAACCCAGAUCUUCAGUGAGGCCUCCUUACCUUCUCACAACCUACAUUACUACCUACAUAGCACUAUUUGAAUUCAUGUGGAGUUUGGACACUGGACCUCUUUGA